rnacentral:rRNA from 1 species
UACAGAGGGUGCGAGCGUUAAUCGGAAUUACUGGGCGUAAAGCGUGCGUAGACGGUAGCGUAAGUCGGGUGUGAAAGCCCCGGGCUCAACCUGGGAAUUGCAUUCGAGACUGCUCUGCUAGGGUGCGGAAGAGGGAAGCGAAAUUUCCGGUGUAGCGGUGAAAUGCGUAGAUAUCGGAAGGAACACCAGUGGCGAAAGCGGCUUCCUGGUCCAGCACCGACGUUCAGGCACGAAAGCGUGGGGAGCAAACAGG